CGCACAUUGCGCCCCUCGGUAGUCCGUGGGGCAUGCCUGUUCGAGCGUCAUUUACACCCUCAAGCCUAGCUUGGUAUUGGGCGUUUGUCAAGCCUUCGCGCAUUUGACUCGCCUUAAAAUCAUUGGCAGCCUGCCUUCGCCCGUCUGAGCACAGCACAAUCGUGUCUCUAGCAGCAAAAGUAGGCUUUCCAAAAGCAACCAUCUUAGUUUGACCUCGGAUCAGGUAGGAAUACCCGCUGAACUUAA
rnacentral:misc_RNA from 1 species